rnacentral:rRNA from 1 species
AGAGAGAGACAUGCGCGCAUAUCAAUAAGCGGAGGAAAAGAAACUAACAAGGAUUCCCCUAGUAACGGCGAGUGAAGCGGGAAGAGCUCAAAUUUGAAAUCUUAAAGGGUUUCCCUUUACGAAUUGUAGUUUAAAGAAGUGUUUUCUGUUGAGGUUUUGGUAAAAGUUCUUUGGAAUAGGACAUCAUAGAGGGUGAGAAUCCCGUAUUUGACCUUUACUUUCAACUUUGUGAUACACUUUCAAAGAGUCGGAUUGUUUGGGAAUGCAGUCCAAAAUGGGUGGUAAAUUUCAUCUAAAGCUAAAUAUUGGCGAGAGACCGAUAGCGAACAAGUACCGUGAGGGAAAGAUGAAAAGAACUUUGAAAAGAGAGUUAAACAGUACGUGAAAUUGUCAAAAGGGAAGCGUUUGACACCAGUGUUGUUUUUCUGAAAAUCAAUUAAAGAACUGUUUAUGCUAAGCUGUUUAGACUUUAUCAGCUAUCUGUUUAGUUUUGAGCUUUUCUUUAAUGCACUUUUCAGUUAACAAGUCAACAUCAAUUUCUUUUGCUGUAAAAAAGCUUGGGGAAGGUGGCUUGAGAUUCGUCCUAUGUGUUUAUAGCCUCUUGCCUAUGCAGUCGGAGAGAUUGAGGUCUGCAGCGUAGAUCCUUCGGGGCUAAAUGCAUUUGUGCUAAGUUAUAGCAUUUUAUAGACAACUUGUUGACUAUGAUUUGUCUUGUAGCUUACUCGCUUAUGUUAUUUUACCUACGCUUAGGAUGUUGACGCAUGAGAUAUACGC